rnacentral:rRNA from 1 species
AUUGAACGCUGGCGGCAGGCCUAACACAUGCAAGUCGAACGGUAACAGAAAGCAGCUUGCUGCUUUGCUGACGAGUGGCGGACGGGUGAGUAAUGUCUGAGCAACUGCCUGAUGGAGGGGGAUAACUACUGGAAACGGUAGCUACUACCGCAUAACGUCGCAAGACCAAAGAGGGGGACCUUCGGGCCUCUUGCCAUCGUAUGUGCCCAGAUGGGAUUAGCUAGUAGGUGGGGUAACGGCUCACCUAGUCGACGAUCCCUAGCUGGUCUGAGAGGAUGACCGGCGACACUGGAAGUGAGACACGGUCCAGACUCCUACGGUAGGCAGCAGUGGGGAAUAUUGGACAAUGGGCGCAAGCCUGAUGCAGCCAUGCCGCGUGUAUGAAGAAGGCCUUCGGGUUGUAAAGUACUUUCAGCGGGGAGGAAGGGAGUAAAGUUAAUACCUUGGCUCAUUGACGUUACCCGCAGAAGAAGCACCGGCUAACUCCGUG